GGCGGACGGGUGAGGAAUGCGUCGGUAUCUGACCCAGUCGUGGGGGAUAACGUAGGGAAACUUACGCUAAUACCGCAUGCGCCCUAAGGGGGAAAGCGGGGGACCGAAAGGCCUCGCGCGAUUGGAUCAGCCGACGCCGGAUUAGCUAGUUGGUGCGGUAAAGGCCCACCAAGGCGACGAUCCGUAGCUGGUCUGAGAGGAUGAUCAGCCACACUGGGACUGCGACACGGCCCAGACUCCUACGGGAGGCAGCCAGUGGGGAAUAUUGGACCAUGGGCGCAAGCCUGAUCCAGCCAUGCCGCGUGUCUGAAGAAGGCCUUCGGGUUGUAAAGCACUUUUGUCCGGGAAGAAAACCCCGGGGCAAAUACCCACGGGGAAUGACGGUACCGGAAGAAUAAGCACCGGCUAACUACGUGCCAGCAGCCGCGGUAAUACGAAGGGUGCAAGCGUUACUCGGAAUUACUGGGCGUAAAAGCGUGCGUAGGAGGUUUGUUAAGUCAGAUGUGAAAGCCCCGGGCUCAACCUGGGAACUGCUUUUGAUACUGGCGAGCUAGAGUACGGUAGAGGGUGGUGGAAUUCCCGGUGUAGCGGUGAAAUGUCGUAGAGAUCGGGAGGAACUUCUGUGGCGAACGCGGCCAC
rnacentral:rRNA from 1 species